UGAGGAAUAUUGGGCAAUGGACGCAAGUCUGACCCAGCCAUGCCGCGUGCAGGAUGACGGCGCUAUGCGUUGUAAACUGCUUUUAUACAGGAAGAAAUCCUCCUACGUGUAGGGGGUUGACGGUACUGUAAGAAUAAGCAUCGGCUAACUCCGUGCCAGCAGCCGCGGUAAUACGGAGGAUGCAAGCGUUAUCCGGAUUCAUUGGGUUUAAAGGGUGCGCAGGCGGGGCAAUAAGUCAGUGGUGAAAUCCUGCGGCUUAACCGUAGAACUGCCAUUGAUACUGUUGCCCUUGAGUAUAGUUGAGGUGGGCGGAAUAUGUAAUGUAGCGGUGAAAUGCAUAGAUAUUACACAGAACACCAAUUGCGAAGGCAGCUCACUAAGCUAUAACUGACGCUGAGGCACGAAAGCGUGGGGAGCGAACAGGAUUAGAUACCCUGGUAGUCCACGCUGUAAACGAUGAUCACUCGUUGUUGGCAAUACAUCGUCAGCGACUGAGCGAAAGCAUUAAGUGAUCCACCUGGGGAGUACGAUCGCAAGAUUGAAACUCAAA
rnacentral:rRNA from 1 species